rnacentral:tRNA from 1 species
CCCCGUGUGGCUCAGUUGGUAGAGCAUGGUGUUUGCAAUGCUGGGGUUGUGGGUUCAAUUCCCACGGGGG